UCCGGAUAGCAUCUGCCAUAAUUGUGCCACGUGCAUUUUGGUCCAAAUUUAAGCUAUUACAAAAAUUCAAACCAUAACCAUAGUCCCUGCAUCCUUCACGAUAUUUUAUUGGUGCAAUAUAUGAAGUUGAUACUGACUUUUGGAGUCUGUUGCAGUUUUGUAAACUCAGUCGUCUUAAUGAUGACAAAGAGGCAGUGUCAG
rnacentral:misc_RNA from 1 species